CAACGCGACCUCAGGUCAG
rnacentral:rRNA from 1 species